rnacentral:rRNA from 1 species
UACGUAGGCAGCGAGCGUUGUUCGGAGUUACUGGGCGUAAAGGGUGUGUAGGCGGUUCUCUAAGUUUGGUGUGAAAUCUCCCGGCUCAACCGGGAGGGUGCGCCGAAAACUGGAGGGCUAGAGUGCGGGAUGGGAGAGUAGAAUUCCUGGUGUAGCGGUGAAAUGCGUAGAUAUCAGGAGGAAUACCGGUGGUGUAGACGGCUCUCUGGACCGCAACUGACGCUGAGACACGAAAGCGUGGGUAG